rnacentral:piRNA from 1 species
UCCAAAAUGAUAGAUGGUUAUGUUACGA